UCCGUUUGGUUUCUUUUAAGUUGUUUCUAUGCUACCCUGUGGUACGCCAACCAGAAAUCAGAAGCUACACAACGAAUGUUCAGCAGAGAGGUGUUUGUGACUGGGACACACCUAUUUGUUACAUCACAGCAAGAACUGAGUUAGGGAACUGGGCGGGGGGCCAGACUGCAUGAAUGAGCCCAACGGUUUCAGGACCAAUCUGCUCCCGAAAUGCUCUAUCUGGGGCUCCUACCUUGUCCCCAUGACCCUGCCACGACACCCACAAAGCAGAGAUGUAGAGUCCAGCCACUGCCUCAGUAACAACCACCCAUCGACGCCCAGGAAACCUGAGAAUGGGCACCUCAUCACACUGGGAGAAACCUCCCCUUCUCCACGAUCACUGCCAAAAGAAACCGAAGGGCCUGUGAAUCCUCUCCAUAUCCAUCGGUUUCCACCUUCCAAACAUCAAGUUCAUGUACCUAACAAGGAGGACCAGGACAGCCUGCAUACAGAAGAAAUGUCCCAUUCCCAAUGCCAUGAGCUCCUUUGUGUCAAUCACUGGGCUACAGCACUGGAGAAGGUAGCAUAUGAAACAGAUGCUUCUACUGAGAAUACACUAACAAUUCAAAUAAACAAAAAGGCUUUCUGAGGAUGGAGAGGAGCAGGACUCACCAUAUGCCACCACUUACUGGACAAUUUACAUGUGAUCUCAUUGGAGACUUACGAUUCUACCGAAAACAUUCACAGGGUUUCCAUUUUACAAAUGAGAAAACUGAACCUAUGCUGUGAUUACCUCACAAUUAUUAGACUGCAAGUCCACACUGCUUCUAUUCCAACAGGCAAACCCACUAGACAUAACCCCUCUCCACCACCAUGAUCCUGGCAGACAUCAAUAAUCAAUCAUGACAUACUCUUUCACUGAAUGUGGAUCAAGCCUCAAGAUUUUUCUCAACCUAACAUUUAAGAGCAUUGUCAAAUAAUCAACCACCAUAAUACAAACUUCUCUGACACCCACCCACUCAUCAAACCACACAACAGUGAACCAAAUGAAUUUUGAGAAUGUGAGUUUAUAUUCAAUUCAUGAUCGUGAGCUUCUCCAGAACGCCCUGUAGCUCCGGAAGAGAAGUAGAAAAACUACACACUGGGAAUGGAUAACAUAACCAAGAUUAAGGGAGAAGAGAAAAUAUACGAUUUAGGGAUUGUUAAGGUGUUAAGAAGAAGAAUCACCAGGCUAACCAAAGUGGGGAAAAAGAACGAACAAAAAAAAAAAAUUUAGGAAACAUGGAAGCAUGCCUGAGCUAGUGAAGAAUUCAGGAGCUUACAGACAUGAGCGAUAGCUCGUCAGGCCAUUGAUGAAAAGUCAAACAAGUGAGUGGCACAGUACACGGUUAAUCAGGAGCAUUUUUGGCAAGAUACCUGGGAUCAAAACGCGUGAGCACCUGAAUCAGAGAGCAGCACAGAGAGG